AAGACUAUAGACCUGCGGAGUACCUGCGGAGGGAUCAUUACCGAGUUUACAACUCCCAAACCCAAUGUGAACGUUACCAAACUGUUGCCUCGGCGGGAUCUCUGCCCCGGGUGCGUCGCAGCCCCGGACCAAGGCGCCCGCCGGAGGACCAGCCAAAACUCUUUUGUAUACCCCCUCGCGGGUUUUUUAUAUCUGAGCCAUCUCGGCGCCUCUCGUAGGCGUUUCGAAAAUGAAUCAAAA
rnacentral:misc_RNA from 1 species